ensembl:lncRNA
CUGUAUUGAAUUUAACUUGCAAAGUGAGGUAAAAUGAUCCCUCUGUCCCUCUAGCUUCCUAAGGAGCAGAGCCCUGAUGGCUUUGAGAAGGGUAUCAUCAGAUUACUCAGUCGUGGAGAUCAAUGUGAAUCCAGAGAACUGGAGAGAAACCUCAGGGAGAAGUUCCUGUCUUUAUCACAGGAUGUCCUUCAGAGAUGUGACGUUUCCAGGUUCUUCCUGUCUGAUGCGUCUGUACGGCCAUGCAGCCACUGUACCAGUGCGCCCGUAGCCAGAAUCCAUCAGCCUGAACGCGGUUUUUCUGAGGACUGCUCAGAGACUUCCAGCCUGGAGGAGGAUACGGAGGCUUACAGCGUCAGAGCUGCUGGACUGAGUAGUCAGCGCUCUGAAUGCCAGAGGACAGGAAACUGUGAGCAGAACAGAGAGAGAGUUUGGAAGAAAGAAACUGAAUUGGAACAGAGCUCCACAAAUGACAGAAGAAUCUUUACGGCUGGACAGAAGAACAAAACAAUAUCAGCUGGAAAAAGGGAGAGAGGCAGACGAGUUACAGGUGUCAAGACUUCUAAUGGAAUCCAGAAACCUUCUGCAGCACUGAUGAUCAACCAGGGAGCUUGCAAAGACGCAGGAAGGGACCGGUAUGGGGACACGUCAUCGGAGAGCUCGAACUCUGUGCCAUCCAGCCCUGUUCACCAGAAGAGCCUGGAAGACCAAGGUGUGUUAUUCAGUAUGUGAUAGUUAAUCAAAAAAAAUCUGUAAUUUACUCACCCUCAUGUUGUUCCAAACCCG